rnacentral:rRNA from 1 species
AUGAGCACAAAACAAAGAAGUCCGUGGAAAUAUUGGGGCUAUAAAGCAGUACCUGAGCAUGCAAAAGCACAUGGCUGGAGCUCUGUCUUCAGUUCCAUCUUGUUUCCAGAUCACCAGCACCAUGACGAGGACCAGAAUACCAUAAUACUUAUGUUUAUCAGUGCGUUGUACAUGAACAUUGUGACACAAUAUAUUCACAUAAACCAGAAUUUGCUGCAUAAGGAAUAUUUAUCUGCGCGUUGGGGAAAAAACAUGUGCAUUCUUUUCAGAGUCGCCGAGAAUGGUCGGUUGAGCUGGCAACCCACAAAGGGCAAAUGCAACAGUGAAAUCCAAGAUGCCAUGAUUGGCUUAUCCAAAAUUAUACAAAUCGCACAGAAAUUUUAA